UACGUAGGGGGCAAGCGUUGUCCGGAUUCAUUGGGCGUAAAGCGCGUGUAGGCGGCCAGAUAGGUCUGCUGUGAAAACCCGAGGCUUAACCUCGGGACGCCGGCGGAAACCAUUUGGCUAGAGUCCGGAAGAGGAGAGUGGAAUUCCUGGUGUAGCGGUGAAAUGCGCAGAUAUCAGGAAGAACACCCGUGGCGAAAGCGGCUCUCCGGGACGGUACUGACGCUGAGACGCGAAAGCGUGGGGAGCGAACAGG
rnacentral:rRNA from 1 species